GCACGUAUUUACGUGGCUGGGAUGCGAGGGUUCCGCGAGAGAAAUCCAGUGCACAAUUUCACUUGACAAUAUCAAAACUAAGAAACUCGGUAACUGUGCCCGUUGUUCCUCCCACCAAGACCAGCGUCCAGGCGUCCGCUGGCCUUUCCUCUCCAAUAGUGCCGUCAAAUGCUGCAGCGAAUGUGGAUUCUUCACCAAUUUGAUAGAUAUGCAUCAAUGGUGGAAGAGGGAGAAAGAAAGGAGAGAGAAGAGCUAUCCCUUGAUCAAGUCUUAUGCACAUAUUCCAAGACUAUGUGGGGCUGGUGAUUACAUUAAAGGAUGGGAUCAGGGCAUAGCAGGCGACGAGGGGAUCCCUCCAAUGCUCGCAGGUUCCUGAACCGAACAACUGAACUUUCAUUUUGUUGAAAGUAACUGAAUCCCUCCAAUUCUCAGGCAUCGUUGCGCCGCCGGCUGCAUCGCUUGGUAUCCUGCAGGGCUUGCGCGACGAGCUCCACUGAAUCCGGCGGCAUCAUCAGCCCUACCGGAAAAACUACUGGGUCAUCUUCCACGAUUUGCUUAUGA